UAGGGAAUCUUCCGCAAUGGACGAAAGUCUGACGGAGCAACGCCGCGUGAGUGAAGAAGGUUUUCGGAUCGUAAAACUCUGUUGUCAGAGAAGAACACGUUGGAGAGUAACUGCUCCAGCCUUGACGGUAUCUGACCAGAAAGCCACGGCUAACUACGUGCCAGCAGCCGCGGUAAUACGUAGGUGGCAAGCGUUGUCCGGAUUUAUUGGGCGUAAAGCGAGCGCAGGCGGUUCCUUAAGUCUGAUGUGAAAGCCCACGGCUCAACCGUGGAAGGUCAUUGGAAACUGGGGAACUUGAGUGCAGAAGAGGAGAGUGGAAUUCCAUGUGUAGCGGUGAAAUGCGUAGAUAUAUGGAGGAACACCAGUGGCGAAGGCGACUCUCUGGUCUGUAACUGACGCUGA
rnacentral:rRNA from 1 species